AGAGGAUGUCGGUUGACACCUCCUUGCCCAACCUCUCCAGAUCCCUGCUCGACAACCCUACCCUAUGAUCUCGGAGAGCUUGGCCUGAGCCACUGGUGGGUCUGGGGUCUCUCUCUGUAGGACAGUGGGCUUUUAGACCAGAGAGCCAACUCUCUGUCAUCCACACCCACAGGACCCAGAGAACCCCAGAGGUGCUCCAUCCUCAAGUUCUCAAUGGUGUGGGAUUGUAAUCUGUGGUCUCUAGGGAGUAUAAUUAUGAUGUGUCCCCUUCACCUAAUACCACAGUUUGUCUAUAUCCAGUGACCAUGAUGGGAACAGAAGGGGUGAUGGGGGAUGGAUCCAGGCAGGCUUCCUUUAGAUAGGGUUUUGGGUUUGUAGACUAACCAUGUUGGGAAGAGGGCUCAACAGGGAAAGAUCUGGGACCAUGGCAGGUAAGUCUGGGGCAGGAAUGCGGGGUAGGGCAGGGGGUCUAACCUGGUGAGUGUGGCUCAGCGGGGCGGCUGAGGUGUCUAAGUUCAAUGUAGAAGUCCUCGGGCGGGUACCUGGCCUCCAGGGCACUGAUCUGGAAAUGGGAGUCUAGUGAGAGGAAUGACAGGGAGGAGCCAUUAUUCCCAGGGCCCUGGAAUGGCAGGGUGGGGAGUAUGGAGGGGGUGAGGGUCAGGGUGGGGCAGGUUAGAAGGAAUUAGGGCCCCUAUGGGUAGUAGCCAAAGGGGCUAGGGCCAGGGGGAUCUGCUAGAGUUGAGGCCAAAGACCUUUCCUCCCUCACCCCCACCCCCCCUACAGGAAUUGGUGCCUACCAGGACAUCAGGGCAGAGGAAGCAGUCCUUGAAAAGAAGUACUUUGGCAGGGCCUGGCUCAGGGAAGGGUCCCUUUCUCAGAUGGCGAGUGCAUCUUUUGCCUGCAUCUGGAAGUCCCACAUCCAGGCUCUAGCUGUCUCCUUUGUGGUCCCUGGGUCAUAGCCACCCUCUCCCCUGAUAUAAAGGGCAUCCUGGGCUUCCUUUGCUUAUAAGAGCUGAAACCAAGGCUUGGGUUUCCUCCCUGUACCACUUCUCCAUGGGGAACCCAUGCUCAGGAUUCAUUUAACCUCCCUUGGAGUUAGGACAGGGCCCCUUUCCAUGUGGAAGGAGGAGAACAGGUGGGACAUGAUGGCAGGAGACCAGACUCAAAGCACUACUGACCUAACACGUUCACAAAGCUGUAUGGGGUCCAGCCUGCUGUUUCUCUGUCAAGGGACUUGUUACUGAGCUGUUUGGAGAGUAGGAGAGCAAGUUAAUCCCUUUGCUCCCAAGGUGCCCCUUCCCAGCCUUCACUUUGCCCAGCCUUGUGCACCCAACCCUGUGACGAUCCUGACCCACCUAUGUCUUAGAUCGUUGAGGGAAAGGAAGAGCUACAUGUAGCAUGGCAUGGCGGAGACCAGUGGGAGCAGAACCUGCCCCCUUCUAAGCUGUCUGGCUGAAAUUGUAGGGUUUGUGGCCCUUAGGACAAAGUAGGGCAGGGUGAACACAGAGCCAAGAACGGGGCGGAGCCUAGCUGGCUCUGACAGGGGAAGCAGGUCAGGUAGGUGGGGCUGAGCUGUAGAACAGGCUCUCCAGUGUCUUAGCUGCAACACGAGGCCAUUUUCAGUACAAAGAGAGGUGCUGAGAUUGCAACAUCACUGUCACCUCUGCUACCUGGCCGUGUGUGAGUCUUCCUUUUGUAUGAGCAAGGGAAAGCCUCAGCUUUGGCAUCAUUUUUGCCUCUAAUCUGCUGUAGCCUUGAUGUGGCUCUAGUUAAUCAAGGACUUUGUACUAAGAAAUCCAGAUUCCUUGCCCUCAGCUUCCAGCUCCUCAGUUAAGCCUAAAGCUGAAGCUGGGAAUGAGAGUCUGAGCUGAGGAGGGGAAGAAAGGGCCAAAGCCGUGGGGUCGAUGGCUACAGACUUUGCUUAUGGGCCUCAAGGUACCCUGCAUACAGCACUCCCAUUUCAUAGGAAAACUGAGGCUGAGAGCCUGUGGAAGAAAGUAGCCUUGGUGCUGGCUUGACAGUGGUUGCCGCUGGGGUUGAACUGUGUGUUAUUUUUAAGGGGUUCAAGCUGUGUUCUACCAGGUCUGAGGACUGGUGGACAUUUUCUGUGGGCCAGACUGGGAGAAAGGAUUCCCAGAGCUCUAGGGCAGAGGCUUAGACUAUGAAAACCGCUUCUGUCUGUGUUCCUCACACAGGAAAGAUGAUGCAGGAAGCCAGGAGGCCUGGGAUUGCCCUCCUAAUGGUCCUACUGUAUGUAUACAUGUGUAGUUGUGUGUGCACACGCAUGCACAUGCUUAGGUGGGUGUCAGGAGGAGUGCAGCAUGAGCCUUUUCAUUUCUGAACCUCCCGCUCUGCCCAGUAUGGGUCCUGGCACACCAGGGGGACUCCCUACACAUGGGUGCUGAGACAUCCUUACCCAAGGCCCUGUGAUUGUAAGAGGAGGUCUUGCCAUUAGCCAGGGUUAUGCUGGGAGCUGUGAUGGGAGGGCCCUGUCGAGGGUGGUGCACACCUGCCCUUGAACGCCUGUGGGUCUCACUGUCAGUGGGAACACUGGCUAUGGCUGAUGUUUGGGUUUCAUGUCCCUUGCGUUGGUUCUGAUUGCAAAACAAAUGGUUGUGGGUAUGUAGUUGUAACGUGUAUGCCAGAUAUUAGGACGUGAGGGAUACCUGAGUAAUAGUGAUUACUCUCUAAGGUGCUGGUUGCAUGCAUAGUGUCGGAAAUGGACUGUAGUGAUCGGUGGUAGGUGGGGUAGCAUGUAGUGUUUUGAUUACAUGUCUUACAUGGCAAAAGUGACAAGGAGGCUACAUGUGAUUACAUGGUGAUCACACGGGUUGGUACCUGUUCAUUACACACAGGUGUGCGGGUACAUAUCCGAUUGCUGCUGUAGGUUGGUUUCAUGUAAUGUCUGCUGGUUACGUGGCACUUGGUUCUGUGUAACUUGCUGGCUUCCUGUCCUAUGCUUCACAGAGUGUUUACAUGUCCCAUGGAUCACAGGGCUGUGUUUGAUGUACUGGCAGUUGGUUCCACAUGGACCCUCCAGGUGGGGUGCAGUUCCUUCCUUGGACAGAGGUUCCUGCUCCCCACACUCAUUGUCUCCAGGAGCAUCUGACCACCCAUCGCCUUCAGGAGAUCCUGCAAGCACGACCACCCACCUCCAACAAUCAACCUGGGUGUCCCCAAGGAUACCAUGUGACUCUGGGGUGUGUAGGAGACACGGGGAGCCAGGUCACGGCCUUUCUCUUUCUGUCGCCGCCGGCGCCAGGCGAACAGGCCCAACAGCACCACAAUGAGGAACAACAGGAGGACGAUGCCUGUGACAGCACC